rnacentral:lncRNA from 1 species
AGGGCCUCACCUGUGGCAUAUGCAAAUUCCCAGGCUAGGGGUUGAAUCAGAACUGCAGCUGCCAGCCUAUGCCACAGGCACGGAUCUGAGCCAAGUGAAUGACCUACACUACAGCUCACAGCAACAACAGAUGAGCAAGGCUAGGGAUCAAACCUGCAUCCAAAUGGGUACUGGUCAGGUUCUUAACCUGCUGAGCCACAAUGGCAACUCUGGCUUUUUUUUAUAAGAAAAUCAUAAAGGACAUACUCAACUGCUCAGUCUGGUAAGGUACGCCACCUCGUUUUGCCUCCCUAAACUUUAAUUUCCCUAAUGGAUUACCAGACCUCAUCACCUUCAAAGGUCCUGCUAACUCUACAGUUCUAUGGCUCUCUACCUACCUCCAAACCUUCCAGCUCUCAAAUACAUACAAGAUAAAGUCCAUAUUGUUCAACAAGGAAGAGGGGACCUUUUCCAACUUGGUCACAAACCUUCUAGUUGCUCCUGCUCAUUUUCUCAUCACUCACUUAUUCUACCCACUAAUGAUCUAAUUACCUGAAUAUUAUACCAGUUUCUAAUCAUGGGCAUCCCCCCUUUUUUUAUUAGAUAUAAGAUAUAACCCUAAUCCUUCAAUUUCUUUUAUGUAAAUAGUGAUAAUACCACUGGUGAGGAGCUGUGGUGAGGAUUUCAUGAGUUAGUGAUUAUAUAGUACUUAGCACUCUGUCUAGCACACAGCAAUCAUGAGAGCUCUUGUCCAUACCCAUUUUUAUUGAAGACACCUUCUGUCCCUCCUGGCCUGCCCUGCCUUCAAGAAUUAGCUAGCUCCAAGUUAACCUCCAGCUCUGCAACUGUUGACAUUCCUACCCCACCCCAUAAUAAUCACUGUUUUUUCUUUUUUUUCCCCUGUUUUUACAAGCCACACCUGUGGCAUAUGGAUGUUCCCAGCUAGGGGUCCAAUCACAGAGGCAGCUGCAGGCCUAUGCCACAGCCACAACAGAUCCGAGCCUCAUCUGCGGACCUAUCCCGUAGCUUGUGACACCACCAGAUCCUUAAGCCACUGAGCAAGGCCAGGGAUCAAAUCCACAUCCUCACAGAAACAAUGUCGGAUCCUUAACCUGCUGAGCCACAACAGGAACUCCAAGCAUUCAUCAGUUUGUUAAUGUUAAGUAAUGGAUAUGCCUCCAAGAAAAUACUGAUUUGAAUUAUGUAAGCAACUGAAACUAAUGCCUAAGAAAGUACACCAAGCUCAAUAAAAUGAAGGUAUUACCUACAUUCAGUAUCUAAGAGUGAAAUGAAAAUUUCUGAUAAAAUAUUACUUUGUUGGAAACUACAAAGUGUUUCUUCUUUAAUGUUUCAUUAUUUAUUCAAGAAAAAUAAUGGCUAUUCUAUCCAAGAUCCUAGAGUUCUGACACAUUAAUAACUUGACUGAAAAAUCACUGGUAGGUCUCUUGUGGCUCAGCUGGUUAAGGAUUUGGCAUUGUCACUGUGGCAUCUCCAGUCACUACUAUGGGGAAUGUUCAACCCCUGGCCCAGGAACUUCCAUAUGCUGCAGGUACAGCCAUAAAAUAAAAUAAAAUAAAACAAAAUAAAAUAAUUCACUGGUAACUAUGAAAAAAAAAAAAAAACUCUUCAUGGAUCCUGUCAUUUAGAACUUUGUAGUUUUUUGUUUUUGUUUUUUCUUUGUCUUUUGUCUUUUUAGGGCCGAACCCGCAGCAUGUGGAGGUUCCAGGCUAGGGGUCUAAUCGGAGCUACAGCUGCUGGGCUACAACACAGCCACAGCAACACCAGAUCUGAGCCUCAUCUGUGACCUACAACACAGCUCAUGGCAACGCCAGAUCCUUAACCCACCGAGCAAAGCCAGGGAUUAAACCUGCAACCUCAUGACAGGAACUCCUGUAGAUGAUUUUUUUUAAAUAAACAUUUUCUGGGAUGAAAACAAAAUCAUAAUUAAAACACACGAAACAGGAGUUCCCGUCGUGGCGCAGUGGUUAACGAAUCCGACUAGGAACCAUGAGGUUGCGGGUUCGGUCCCUGCCCUUGCUCAGUGGGUUAACGAUCCGGCAUUGCCGUGAGCUGUGGUGUAGGUUGCAGACGCGGCUCGGAUCCUGCGUUGCUGUGGCUCUGGUGUAGGCCAGUGGCUACAGCUCCGAUUCAACCCUUAGCCUGGGAACCUCCAUAUGCCACGGGAGCUGCCCAAGAAAUAGCAACAACAACAACAACAAAAAAAAAACACAAAACAAUGCUUUAAAUAUCUAUCAAAGUCCAGAUUCUAUUUCAUUCAUAAACCCUGUAAUUGUGAAUACCUAUAUAGCUCUCAGCUCAGGGCAAUUCUGGCCUCCAAGGGACAUUUCUGGAUGUUGCAAUUGUGGAUAGGGGUGAAGCUUACUGCUAUUUAGUGGGUAGAGGCCAGGGAUGCUGCUAAACAUCCUAUAGUGCACAGGAUAGUCCCCAUAACAAAGAACUAUCCGACCUCAAAUGUGAAAUAGCACCAAGGUUGAGAAACCCUGGCCUACAUUACUUCUUUGACCGCUUUCCUAUCUUUUGAAAAUCCAAUAUGCUAAUUUUAAGCUGCAAGCCAAAUGUGGGAUCCUUAAAGUGACUGUUCUUCCUUGUUACUAAUAUAUCACUUCAUAAAAAUCUUCUAAUAAUGCUAAAAUUUACAGAAAAAAAAAGGUCAACUUCUAAAAAUUAGACUGAGAGGAAGCUGGGAUUUGAAACAUGCUGAAGUCACUCAAUUUUGAAAAACAUGACAAAAAUGAAAACCCCAAAUAGCUUUUUACAAUACUUGCAGAAAAAACUUUUAUAAUUAUGAAAAACAAAUGGGAGAAAUAUACAGUAUUGCUACCAUUAUUCUAGUAAGGUUUACAUCAAUGAAAACUAUUCCAUUUAUGUCAAAAAUGGCUUCUCAGCUCAAUAGUUUUCUUUACCCUAAGUGUAGGAACUUAAAUGGUAGUUUAGUACAAAAUUAGACUUCUCCCCACCAAAGUUACCAUGGUCAGAAGAAAUUCGUAAAACUUGUGGGCAGAGCUUCCAGGCCUGCCCACUUGUAUCUCUCACAAGUGUCCUAUCUUAAUAAAUCCAUUUCCUGCCUAUCAAAAAAAAAAAAAAAAAAAA